rnacentral:rRNA from 1 species
CCUACGGGGGGCUGCAGUGGGGAAUAUUGGACAAUGGACCAAAAGUCUGAUCCAGCAAUUCUGUGUGCACGAUGAAGUUUUUCGGAAUGUAAAGUGCUUUCAGUUGGGAAGAAGAAAGUGACGGUACCAACAGAAGAAGCGACGGCUAAAUACGUGCCAGCAGCCGCGGUAAUACGUAUGUCGCAAGCGUUAUCCGGAUUUAUUGGGCGUAAAGCGCGUCUAGGCGGUUUGGUAAGUCUGAUGUGAAAAUGCGGGGCUCAACUCCGUAUUGCGUUGGAAACUGCCAAACUAGAGUACUGGAGAGGUAGGCGGAACUACAAGUGUAGAGGUGAAAUUCGUAGAUAUUUGUAGGAAUGCCGAUGGGGAAGCCAGCCUACUGGACAGAUACUGACGCUAAAGCGCGAAAGCGUGGGUAGCAAACAGGAUUAGAUACCCCUGUAGUC